GGAGUUUGAACAUCGUCGAACAACCGCGAUCUUAAGGACCCGCCUUUGUACGGUGGAGGUCAGGGGUUCGAAUCCCCUAGGCUCCA
rnacentral:tRNA from 1 species